rnacentral:pre_miRNA from 1 species
AAUAAGAUUAUUUUUCAGUUUUUAGAUACAAUGUUUUGACUUUUCGUCUUAUUUGAAAUUUUUUACGAUUAAUAUUUUUGUUAUUACUAGAUGAUAAAAUAUGAAUAAUACUUUAUGCGUGACUAUUUUUUAAGUUUUUUAUAAAUUUUUCAAGUAAGACGAAUGGUCGAAGCAUUGGACACAGAAAUU